rnacentral:rRNA from 1 species
AGGUGACCUCGGAUCAGUAGGGAUACCGCUGACUAGCAUAUCAAUAAGCGGAGAA